rnacentral:rRNA from 1 species
AACAGGAUUAGAUACCCUGGUAGUCCACGCUGUAAACGAUGUCGAUUUGGAGGUUGUGCCCUUGAGGCGUGGCUUCCGGAGCUAACGCGUUAAAUCGACCGCCUGGGGAGUACGGCCGCAAGGUUAAAACUCAAAUGAAUUGACGGGGGCCCGCACAAGCGGUGGAGCAUGUGGUUUAAUUCGAUGCAACGCGAAGAACCUUACCUGGUCUUGACAUCCACAGAACUUUCCAGAGAUGGAUUGGUGCCUUCGGGAACUGUGAGACAGGUGCUGCAUGGCUGUCGUCAGCUCGUGUUGUGAAAUGUUGGGUUAAGUCCCGCAACGAGCGCAACCCUUAUCCUUUGUUGCCAGCGGUCCGGCCGGGAACUCAAAGGAGACUGCCAGUGGUAAACUGGAGGAAGGUGGGGAUGACGUCAAGUCAUCAUGGCCCUUACGACCAGGGCUACACACGUGCUACAAUGGCAUAUACAAAGAGAAGCGACCUCGCGAGAGCAAGCGGACCUCAUAAAGUAUGUCGUAGUCCGGAUUGGAGUCUGCAACUCGACUCCAUGAAGUCGGAAUCGCUAGUAAUCGUAGAUCAGGAUGCUACGGUGAAUACGUUCCCGGGCCUUGUACACACCGCCCGUCACACCAUGGGAGUGGGUUGCAAAAGAAGUAGGUAGCUUAACCUUCGGGAGGGCGCUUACCACUUUGUGAUUCAUGACUGGGGUGAAGUCGUAACAAGGUAACC